AUCCUGCUGACGAGACCCAAAUGGGACGAAACGCGCGUCCUGGAU
rfam:Schistosoma mansoni strain Puerto Rico chromosome W, complete genome